rnacentral:rRNA from 1 species
GACGAACGCUGGCGGCGUGCCUAACACAUGCAAGUCGAACGGAAAGGCCCUGCUUUUGUGGGGUGCUCGAGUGGCGAACGGGUGAGUAACACGUGAGUAACCUGCCCUUGACUUUGGGAUAACUUCAGGAAACUGGGGCUAAUACCGGAUAGGAGCUCCUGCUGCAUGGUGGGGGUUGGAAAGUUUCGGCGGUUGGGGAUGGACUCGCGGCUUAUCAGCUUGUUGGUGGGGUAGUGGCUUACCAAGGCUUUGACGGGUAGCCGGCCUGAGAGGGUGACCGGCCACAUUGGGACUGAGAUACGGCCCAGACUCCUACGGGAGGCAGCAGUGGGGAAUAUUGCACAAUGGACGGAAGCCUGAUGCAGAAACGCCGCGUGCGGGAUGACGGCCUUCGGGUUGUAAACCGCUUUCGCCUGUGACGAAGCGUGAGUGACGGUAAUGGGUAAAGAAGCACCGGCUAACUACGUG